UGAGAUAUGGUGUAAUGGUAGCACUACAGAUUUUGGUUCUGUCUGUCGAGGUUCGAAUCCUCGUAUCUCAA
rnacentral:tRNA from 1 species